GUCUGAAUAGGGCGCUUAGUCAGAUGCUGCAGACCCGAAACGAAGUGAUCUAUCCAUGAGCAAGUUGAAGCUAGUGUAAGAACUAGUGGAGGACUGAACCCAUAGGCGUUGAAAAGCCCCGGGAUGACUUGUGGAUAGGGGUGAAAGGCCAAUCAAACUUCGUGAUAGCUGGUUCUCUCCGAAAUAUAUUUAGGUAUAGCGUUGUGUCGUAAUAUAAGGGGGUAGAGCACUGAAUGGGCUAGGGCAUACACCAAUGUACCAAACCCUAUCAAACUCCGAAUACCUUAUAUGUAAUCACAGCAGUCAGGCGGCGAGUGAUAAAAUCCGUCGUCAAGAGGGAAACAACCCAGACUACCAGCUAAGGUCCCUAAAUCUUACUUAAGUGGAAAACGAUGUGAAGUUACUUAAACAACCAGGAGGUUGGCUUAGAAGCAGCCAUCCUUUAAAGAAAGCGUAAUAGCUCACUGGUCUAGUGAUUUUGCGCGGAAAAUAUAACGGGGCUAAAGUAAGUACCGAAGCUGUAGACUUGCACACAACUUAGAUUAUUUAAGUUUAGAAUAUGAGAAACUAAGUUAUAUGUUUAGUUAUAUUUUUACUGAUUUUUAUAGAGUAAAGAUAGAAAUAAAACUUAGUAAAAUCAGUAAAAAUAUUCUUAGACUAAAGUUAAGUAGUUUAAGUUGUGUGCAAGUGGUAGGAGAGCGUUCUAUUUGCGUCGAAGGUAUACCGGUAAGGAGUGCUGGAGCGAAUAGAAGUGAGCAUGCAGGCAUGAGUAGCGAUAAUUAAUGUGAGAAUCAUUAACGCCGUAAACCCAAGGUUUCCUACGCGAUGCUCGUCAUCGUAGGGUUAGUCGGGUCCUAAGUCGAGUCCGAAAGGGGUAGACGAUGGCAAAUUGGUUAAUAUUCCAAUACCAACAUUAGUGUGCGAUGGAAGGACGCUUAGGGCUAAGGGGGCUAGCGGAUGGAAGUGCUAGUCUAAGGUCGUAGGAGGUUGUACAGGCAAAUCCGUAUAACAAUACUCCGAGAACUGAAAGGCUUUUUGAAGUCUUCGGAUGGAUAGAAGAACCCCUGAUGCCGUCGAGCCAAGAAAAGUUUCUAAGUUUAGCUAAUGUUGCCCGUACCGUAAACCGACACAGGUGGGUGGGAUGAGUAUUCUAAGGCGCGUGGAAGAACUCUCUUUAAGGAACUCUGCAAAAUAGCACCGUAUCUUCGGUAUAAGGUGUGGUUAGCUUUGUAUUAGGAUUUACUCCGAAAGCAAGGAAACUUACAACAAAGAGUCCCUCCCGACUGUUUACCAAAAACACAGCACUCUGCUAACUCGUAAGAGGAUGUAUAGGGUGUGACGCCUGCCCGGUGCUCGAAGGUUAAUUGAUGGGGUUAGCAUUAGCGAAGCUCUUGAUCGAAGCCCGAGUAAACGGCGGCCGUAACUAUAACGGUCCUAAGGUAGCGAAAUUCCUUGUCGGUUAAAUACCGACCUGCAUGAAUGGCGUAACGAGAUGGGAGCUGUCUCAAAGAGGGAUCCAGUGAAAUUGUAGUGGAGGUGAAAAUUCCUCCUACCCGCGGCAAGACGGAAAGACCCCGUGGACCUUUACUACAGCUUGACACUGCUACUUGGAUAAGAAUGUGCAGGAUAGGUGGGAGGCUUUGAGUAUAUGACGCCAGUUGUAUAUGAGCCAUUGUUGAGAUACCACUCUUUCUUAUUUGGGUAGCUAACCAGCUUGAGUUAUCCUCAAGUGGGACAAUGUCUGGUGGGUAGUUUGACUGGGGCGGUCGCCUCCCAAAUAAUAACGGAGGCUUACAAAGGUUGGCUCAGAACGGUUGGAAAUCGUUCGUAGAGUAUAAAGGUAUAAGCCAGCUUAACUGCAAGACAUACAAGUCAAGCAGAGACGAAAGUCGGUCUUAGUGAUCCGGUGGUUCUGUGUGGAAGGGCCAUCGCUCAAAGGAUAAAAGGUACCCCGGGGAUAACAGGCUGAUCUCCCCCAAGAGCUCACAUCGACGGGGAGGUUUGGCACCUCGAUGUCGGCUCAUCGCAUCCUGGGGCUGGAGCAGGUCCCAAGGGUAUGGCUGUUCGCCAUUUAAAGCGGUACGCGAGCUGGGUUCAGAACGUCGUGAGACAGUUCGGUCCCUAUCUGCCGUGGGCGUAAGAAGAUUGAAGAGAUUUGACCCUAGUACGAGAGGACCGGGUUGAACAAACCACUGGUGUAGCUGUUGUUCUGCCAAGAGCAUCGCAGCGUAGCUAAGUUUGGAAAGGAUAAACGCUGAAAGCAUCUAAGCGUGAAGCCAACUCUAAGAUGAAUCUUCUCUAAGCUCUCUAGAAGACUACUAGUUUGAUAGGCUGGGUGUGUAAUGGAUGAAAGUCCUUUAGCUGACCAGUACUAAUAGAGCGUUUGGCUUAUCUUUAAUAAAGCAU
rnacentral:rRNA from 1 species